rnacentral:rRNA from 1 species
GAUGAACGCUAGCGGUGUGCUUAAAGCAUGCAAGUCGAACGUGAUCUCUUGGAUUCGUCUGAGGGUGAAAGUGGCGAACGGGUGAGUAAUGCGUUGGUGAUCUGCCCCGGAGUGGGGAAUAACUAUUGGAAACGAUAGCUAAUACCCCAGAUGUCCUCGUGUUUGGAAAGCGAUGACUAAAGUUCAGGCGCUCCGGGAGGAGCCGACGUCCCAUCAGCUAGUUGGUAGGGUAAUGGCCUACCAAGGCACAGACGGGUAGGGGGCGUGAGAGCGUGACCCCCCACACUGGUACUGACACACGGACCAGAUACCUACGGGUAGCAGCAGCUAGGAAUAUUGGACAAUGGGCGAAAGCCUGAUCCAGCAACACCGCGUGGAGGACGAAGGCCUUCGGGUCGUAAACUACCUUUUUGGGGGGUAGUGAGAAGGAACGAGUACCCCCACGAAUAAGGACCC